rnacentral:rRNA from 1 species
UACGGGGGGAGCAAGCGUUGUUCGGAUUUAUUGGGCGUAAAGAGCUCGUAGGCGGUUUGGUAAGUCGGAUGUGAAAUCUCCAGGCUCAACCUGGAGGGGUCAUUCGAUACUGCCAUGACUAGAGUUCGGUAGGGGAGUGUGGAAUUCCUGGUGGAGCGGUGAAAUGCGCAGAGAUCAGGAGGAACACCCGUAGCGAAGGCGGCACUCUGGGCCGAUACUGACGCUGAGGAGCGAAAGCGUGGGGAGCGAACAGG